UACACGAGUGAACAAUAACAAGUAGUUAACACGUUUACUAAUAGUUACCGUCUUGCAGGGUACCUUCCGAAAUCGAUCAAAAAUCGAUUAUUGAGAUUUAAUAUCACGGUUAGGUAACUACCCUACAAGAGGGAGGUAUCCAAUUCUCUACAACAUUUGUAAAGUUUCACCUAUUACACCACUAUAUAUUCAAAGAUAACUUUUAGGUUUCAAAUUUGAAAUUCUGUUGUAAGAGUAGCAACUUUCAUCAUCCAUAUUUUUUGAAUGCGUAAAAAAGAGAUACACGUAACGCUAUUCCAUUUUUCAUCAACAAUGGCCGGCAUUAUUUGGAAAAAAUGUUUGAGCAUGAAAAGGCGUUUAUAAAGAACGUUGUAUUGCCUUGCAAUUUGCAGCGCAAGGUUUGGAAUGUUCGAAAGAUUUUCCACAUCGAUAAGUGCAUUUCCAAAAUCGCUCUGAGUUUGGGUAAACGUGCUACACAGUGUUUUUAGAUUACACUCAACCCUUUCCAUUUUGUUGGUGUGUCGUCAAAUAUCGCAACGUUGGGUGUGCGGCGUCGAGAAGGCUAAGGGUGUGCUGUGUCGUUUGUGGAAGGUAACUGCCAACACUGCUAUUUGUCAUUUGGCAUUGUUAUGUGAGGUUCAUUCACCAACACAUGUACACAUUGUUUGAAAAGUUCCUGCGCUCGAAAUAAAAAAAUUUUGUUUUUGUUACGAAAUAUAUUUUUUUAUUCAAUAUAA